rnacentral:rRNA from 1 species
CCUACGGGUGGCAGCAGUGGGGGAUAUUGCACAAUGGGGGAAACCCUGAUGCAGCGACGCCGCGUGGGCGACGAAGUAUUUCGGUAUGUAACGCCCUAUCAGCAGGGAAGAAGAAAUGACGGUACCUGAGUAAGAAGCACCGGCUAAAUACGUGCCCGCAGCCGCGGUAAUACGUAUGGUGCAAGCGUUAUCCGGAUUUACGGGGGGAAAAGGGAGCGCAGGCGGCACGCCAAGCCUGAUGGUAACGCCCGCGGCCCAACCGCGGGACUGCAUUGGGAACUACCGGGCUGGAGUGCCGGAGAGGUAGGCGGAAUUCCUAGGGUAGCGGGAAAGU